rnacentral:rRNA from 1 species
AGUGAACGCUGGCGGCAGGCCUAACACAUGCAAGUCGAACGGCAGCACCGUACGAGCUUGCUCUUACGGGUGGCGAGUGGCGGAAGGGUGAGGAGUACAUCCGACUCUACUUUUUCGUGGGGGAUAACGUAGGGAGACUUACGCUAAUACCGCAUACGACCUACGGGUGAAAGCAGGGGAUCUUCGGACCUUGCGCGAUUGGAUGAGCCGCUGUCGGAUUAGCUAGUUGGCGGGGUAAAGGCCCAGCCAGGCGACGAUCGGUAGCUGGUGUGAGAGGAUGAUCAGCCACAUGGGAGGUUAGACACGGUCCAGACGCCUACGGGAGGCAGCAGUGGGGAAUAGUGGACAAUGGGGGCAAGUCUGGUCCAGUGAUACCGCGUGUGUGAAGGAGGCCUUCGGGGCGUAAAGCCCUUUUGUUGGGAAAGAAAAGCAGCAGGUUGAGACCCCGCUGUUCUGACGGUACCCAAAGAAUAAGCACCGGCUAACUACGUG